AUUGAACGCUGGCGGCAUGCCUUACACAUGCAAGUCGAACGGCAGCACGGGUGCUUGCACCUGUUGGCGAGUGGCGAACGGGUGAGUAAUACAUCGGAACAUGUCCUGUAGUGGGGGAUAGCCCGGCGAAAGCCGGAUUAAUACCGCAUACGAUCUACGGAUGAAAGCGGGGGACCUUCGGGCCUCGCGCUAUAGGGUUGGCCGAUGGCGGAUUAGCUAGUUGGUGGGGUAAAGGCCUACCAAGGCGACGAUCAGUAGCUGGUCUGAGAGGACGACCAGCCACACUGGGAGUGGGACACGGCCCAGACUCCUACGGGAGGCAGCAGUGGGGAAUUGUGGACAAUGGGCGAAAGCCUGAUCCAGCAAUGCCGCGUGUGAGAAGAAGGCCUUCGGGUUGUAAAGCACUUUUGUCCGGAAAGAAAUCCUUGGCCCUAAGACGGUCGGGGGAUGACGGUACCGGAAGAAUAAGCACCGGCUAACUACGUG
rnacentral:rRNA from 1 species